GCAUGGUUGGCAGAGCGGCAAAUGCGUCUGACUGUAAAUCAGAUGUCUUCACAGACUUCGGAGGUUCGAGUCCUUCACCAUGCACCA
rnacentral:tRNA from 1 species